CCAGGCUGGACAAGUACUUGACCCUCGCUGGGUCUUUUGCGGCCAUGUUAAUGACUGUGUUGACCCAUGAGUCAGGUUUUGGUGGGUUGAAUGGUGAACAUUUGCCAUAGAUUGGAAUGAUGGAGAGGCCUGAGUUAUCUGCCUGAGCGGCACAAGGGUCCAAAGCCUUGGUGGAUGAGAUGAGAAGCGCAAAAAAGAGAAGUGUGGCAGUGAAGUCCAUGGUUUAGAGCUAGGACUUCAGCUCGGAGGUAGGGGGGAG
rnacentral:lncRNA from 1 species